GUAGGUGGCAAGCGUUGUCCGGAAUUAUUUGGCGUAAAGCGCGCGCAGGCGGUUCUUUAAGUCUGAUGUGAAAGCCCACGGCUCAACCGUGGAGGGUCAUUGGAAACUGGAGAACUUGAGUACAGAAGAGGAAAGCGGAAUUCCACGUGUAGCGGUGAAAUGCGUAGAGAUGUGGAGGAACACCAGUGGCGAAGGCGGCUUUCUGGUCUGUAACUGACGCUGAGGCGCGAAAGCGUGGGGAGCAGACAGGAUUAGAUACCCUGGUAGUCCACGCCGUAAACGAUGAGUGCAAGUGUUAGGGGGUUUCCGCCCCUUAGUGCUGCAGCUAACGCAUUAAGCACUCCGCCUGGGAGUACGGCCGCAAGGCUG
rnacentral:rRNA from 1 species